ensembl:lncRNA
AUGUUGUGUUUGUGUGUCUCUGACCUGAUACUGCAGGCCGGUGCAAAGGAUCAGAUCGUCAUACUUCACUUUACCAUUCUCCAUCAGCUCCAGGUGUUUGGCCUUGCUUUCGAUGGCCUUCAUCUUAUCCAUCACCAUGCUGAUCCAGGAGCGCAAAGACAGCUGGGCUUGAUCCUGAUCACUGUAGCAGUGACUGUGGAGGAACAGAUCCUGCAAUCAAUCUUACACUGCUAUGAAAAGAGCAGCCAGAAGGACAUCUGUGUCUUUCACUGCUGUUCUUGACCACCAGCUCACAGCGUUCUGGCCUUAUCAGCAGCUGACAGGCCUCUAUUGUGGCCAGUGUCUGACUGCUAAGUUUAGGGGCCAAGCAUCUUUAUUGGUCCUCUAUGGUCCUGCGUUUCACCCCAUCCUCAGGGGUGAUAAAGGACAAGAGAGUGAGUGUGAGGGGGGCCAAUGGUUUUGGCUUGACAGAUAAGCGCUGUCGGCCAUGGCCUCCACCUUCUCCAUUAGUCAGGCGGCCUCUACAGGGGCUGACCGGCCAUAAGUUUAGUGGACACUAACUGCCUCAUUAGUCAAGUCAUUAGCGACAGCAAGCACCAAUUGCGGCCUAGAGUACAAGGCAGGGCUAAUUAAAGGGCCAGCGCGUGACCUCCACACACUGCCAGCUCUAGACAGCUGCGUGCCCGCGGUGCCUGCCAAAGCAGCAGGAGUUAACACACACACAGCCGCAGAGCGACCCCUGGUUGCCAGGCAGUUAUCAGCUUUCAGGAAACAAGAACGGCCUUAAAUCGCGGCUUUGUUUGGUCAAACGCUUUGCGAGAAUCUGCAUCCAAACCCCUGACCUCUCCUGAUAUCCUCUCGAGAAAUGACAUUCUGAAAAGUGAAAUCCUUCAGAGACUAAAGAGCUAAAGUCUGUGGAAGUCAUUGUCUAAAAACAGUGUUUCCCAACCUUUUACUGUACACUAUCUUUUAAAUUUUUCUUUAGGAAAGAAAUUAAAACUUUUAUUCAGCAAGAAUGUGUUAAAUUGAUCAAAAGUUACAGUAAAGACAUUUAUAACGUAACAAAAAAAAAAUUACAUUUUAAAUUUUCUAUUAAUCAAGAAUCAUGAAAUAAAAAUAUCAUGGUUUUCA